rnacentral:rRNA from 1 species
CCUACGGGUGGCAGCAGUGAGGAAUAUUGGUCAAUGGCCGGGAGGCUGAACCAGCCAAGUCGCGUGCGGGAAGAAUGUCCUAUGGAUUGUAAACCUCUUUUUUCAGGGAGCAAAGUCACUCACGUGUGGGGGUUGGAGAGUACCGGAAGAAUAAGCAUCGGCUAACUCCGUGCCAGCAGCCGCGGUAAUACGGAGGGUGCGGGCGUUAUCCGGAUUUAUUGGGUUUAAAGGGUGCGUAGGCGGAUCAUCAAGUCUGCGGGAAAAUCGUGGGGUUCAACCCCAUCCAGCUGUGGAAACUGAGGAUCUGGAGUGCGCGAGAAGCAUGCGGAAUGCGUGGUGUAGCGGUGAAAUGCGUAGAUAUCACGAAGAACCCCGAUUGCGAAGGCAGCAUACCGGCGCCGGACUGACGCUGAGGCACGAAAGCGUGGGUAUCGAACAGGAUUAGAUACCCUUGUAGUC